AAUCAAUGUAAUUUUCACACUGCCAGUCAGAGAUGGUGGGGCGUUGGGGAGAUGAUGCAGGGCAGCGGGGAUUAAACCAGUCACCGUCCGUCAAACAAAUGCCCGGUGUUGCCAUGGAAACCGCCGCCUGAUAGGGAUUACGGAGCGUCUAAGGGGUGGCAGAGCUGGGACUGAUAAAGGAGCCUUGUUUCACACCAACCUAAUCCCCCUGUGUCAAUACACAGAUAAAGCUUCAAAUGGCGUGUGCAAAAGAGUAAAGUUUUCAGAUCGUUCCUAAACCCGAGCCAAACAUCAGCAGCCUGUGAAAACCCCCCGUGUCAAACUCUGAAAAUACACCACAGGCAAAAUGUGCAUAAGAGGCUGGGGCACCAGAAAUUCAAAGCUGGCGGAGGGAAUUGCAGCUCACAGCUCUGAUGUUGUUUGACAGCUUUUGCCAGGCACCGUUUGAGCGGUGUGAAGCUGACACACUGAUCUCAUUCCUGGUCACAUGUCAAAAUCUCUCCGUGCUUAAAUCCACACCGCCGCCUCCUCUUCCUCACAAGGUCAGUAUUUACGCUCUGCAUGUAUGGAGACGAUUAUGCAAAUGGCGUUUACAGCAAACGAAUGCAAUUAAACGAAAGGAAAAACUGCGAGAGAUUUCCCUAACAUCUGCAUAAUAUGCUGACUUCUCAAGCGCUUGUGUGUGACUGUUGUGGUUUCUAUGUGCACUUUCCAUUUCUUUUAAAAACAAUCUUGGCUCAGAGUCUCGUAUUUAGACGAAUGUGUAAGUAUCUUACGAAAUCCAUUUAUGAGAUAAAGCUACCUUCCCAUGUUAUAUAAAUUAUAGCCAUAAUCUUCUGCACUGCCCUCUUCAAUAUCGACUCCCUCCGCAACAACAACACACACACACACACACACACACACACACACACACAGUAUUCAUCUACAAAACACAAAUCACCCUCUGAUAAAUCAUAACAACCAAUCUCUGUAAUCAAAGCCAUAUGUCCUCACGUAAAUUAUGAAUUUGCACACACUAGAUCACAUAAAACAGCUUUAAACACAUAGCAUCUUGUCAGCUAAUGACAUGUUCUGUAUCGCAAUCUAUCCCCCACACAUUUUCAUCUUUUAUAUUUUACUUUGUACGUUUAGUACGCAAAUUACCUCCAGUGGCUGCUUACCUGCAGGUAAUUUCAGGUUUUAUUUUUCUUGUCAGGACAUUUGGUCUUUAUAAUGUAGGCUAAAGCUGCCUCCCACACACACACACACACACACACACUCACACUCACACACACACGCACGGAUGGUGGUACUCAGUCAGCAUUGCUUUCACACUGUGAGCUGUGCCACUCCAGAGGAAACACCCAUGUCUUUCAGCGUUGCCAUGGCAGCACUCUCUCCUCUCCAAACAGGCGGCUGAGAUGGGUUUUGUCACCGAGCAGCUUUCAGUCGGCGCUGAACUGACUGAACCUCGUCUGCGGCCAGCAUGCAUCUGUGCAGCACACUGUUUGCCCACUGCGUGUCCGUUGUGUGUUUU